UCAACCCUUGCUGGACAACAUCUAUCACCACACACUGCUACACGCAGAAAUUCCUUUUGCCAUAAAAUUUCUCUACUUGAUUCCACAUCCCUAACAUUGCCUUGAUUUUGUGCAUCCUAGCACUGCUGACAUCCUCACAGAAUCAAAUCAAUCCAACCUUGGCUCUGAUACUACUUGUUAGAAUUAGAUACCCCUCAUUUUGCGCAAUAGCCCCCGAAUCUCGGAAUGAUAAUGUGAGUACGAUAUGAGCUUGUACUAUAUCAAGAAAAUUAUAGAUGAUUCUUGUAAAAAACCCUAGAUGACGGUGUUGAAGCAACCACAACAAAGAAUAGGAUUUUGACUAAGCUGACAGCAAAUUUUUUUAAGCAUAACUCCAAAAGAGUACAAGUGAUUGUUGCUUCCUCAUAACACUACUUGACCCUCUAGGACCCUCUGAUUCUUACCCUAUACAAGAAUGUACUGCUAUAGAACUAUCUAGCCUAUCCCUCUUGAGCACUUCUAAUUGCCCUUACAAGCCUCGGAUGAGACCUUGUGUUUUCUAUUGGUUUGAUUUAUUCCUAGAGCCUCCAACCCCCUUAUUUAUAUAGUCC
rnacentral:lncRNA from 1 species